AAGAAGUCUGUGGUUCAUUCUACCCAGUGUAACUCUAGAGUACAUUGGAUUGGACAAAAGAGUGAAUACUCGGAUCCCAAAUCCAAAGGAAAGAACCUGCCAGAGCUCCAACUUCAGACCAAUUUAGAAGUAAAAGACGCUGUAUAAUGCAGCUCUUCUGAGUGCAGCGAGGAGCAUAGAGGCAACCUGCUUCGCUACACAAUUCACAUCUCUCUUCGGAACAAUACAGCGACAAGUGUACUGAGACCAAAGCAAGAAAAAGAUUCAGUUUGGAGAACACUGAAAAGUUUUCUCUCAAGUUAUUAAAACAUY
rnacentral:lncRNA from 1 species